GGAGGUCCAGCCUGCCCAGUGACUUUGUUCAACGGCCGCGGUAUCCUAACCGUGCGAAGGUAGCGUAAUCACUUGUUCUUUAAAUGAGGACUAGUAUGAAUGGCCCCACGAGGGCUGCACUGUCUCCUUUUUCUAAUCAAUGAAACUAAUCUCCCCGUGAAGAAGCGGGAAUUAUCCUAUAAGACGAGAAGACCCUAUGGAGCUUUAAACAAUUGAAACAUUUGCUUUCCUCCUAACUCCUCCCGAGCUCUUUAUUUUUAAAGCAUUAUUAUUUCUAGUUUUAGGUUGGGGUGACCACGGAGCAAAACUAAACCUCCAUGAAGAAAUGAAUAUUUUUAAGCCACAAACUACUUUUUUAAGCAUCAACAAAUUGACCUUCAUUGACCCAAUAUAUUGAUCAACGAACCAAGUUACCCUAGGGAUAACAGCGCAAUCUACUUCAAGAGCUCAUAUCGACAAGUAGGUUUACGACCUCGAUGUUGGAUCAGGGUAUCCUAGUGGUGCAGCCGCUACUAAUGGUUCGUUUGUUCAACGAUCAAAACCCU
rnacentral:rRNA from 1 species